rnacentral:rRNA from 1 species
UUCAUCCGAGACUACCCGCUGAACUUAAGCAUAUCAAUAAGCGGAGG